UUUUUUUUUUUUUUUUUUGCCUUUUCUAGGGCCACUCCUGCAGCUUACAGAGGUUCCCAGGCUAGGGGUCUAAUUGGAACUGUAGCUGCCGGCUUACACGACAGCCACCGCAACAUGGAAUCUGAGCCGCAUCUGUGACCUACACCACAGCUCACAGCAAUGUCGGAUCCUUAAUCCACUGAGCAAGGCCUGGGAUCGAACCUGCCACCUCAUGGUUCCUAGUUGGUUUCAUUAACCACUGAGCCACGAUGGGCACUCCUAGUACUUUUAUCAUGUCAUAUACUACAUUUACAUCUCUUUAGCAUUUUAAAUAAUAAGUCAGGAGGGAGAGAUACUUUCUAGUUGUCUUAACAUCAUUUAUUGAAAAAUACAUCUUUUCCUCAAUUAAAUAAAAUGCCUUCGUAAAAGAGUAAAUUGACAUAAUUUUAAAUUUAUUAUUUGAUCUCUCUUCUAUUCAUUAAUAGCUGUGAAUAGACCUUUCCUGUAAUUACCUAACUCAUUUUAACAAUGUAGAAAUGUUUAAUGUUGCUCACUCUCAACCAUUAUCACUCCCACUCACUAUAACUAUAAAUGAUCCCAGUGGCUGACCAUUCCAUAGUACAUCUAUUUUUCAAAAUUCUUAUGGGAUACACACAAUGACUUAAUAUGCAAAAGUUAAUGGAGCAGUUUACUGUCUCCAUUGAUGCAACAAGUUAAAAGGGUAUAUAUAAGUGAUAUUUAUUUUCUUGUCCCUCUUUCACCAGUUUUUUACUUUUCCCAUCAUUAGCCAAAACUUCAUUCUAGAUAACUUAUUUCUUAAGAGUUUGGAGCUCUCAUUUGCUUCAAUUUUGCCAGCGUGUUUACUGUAAUUGCCCAUUAAAUGCCUUAGAUGGCAUGAAACACCAAAAGAUGCUCCUGGGAACCACAGUGUUCUAUUCAUAUGCCCAUCUUCCCACAUUGUGUGGCAGCAACCCCUCCUUAUAGUAUUCAUGAUCACAUCCAGUGAUAAUGAUAACUCCUUUUUUUUCCCUACUUUCCAUAAAAAAAAAAAAGACAAAGAAAAAAGGAAAAAAAUCAUAAAAAAAAAAAAGAUAGGAUCUGUGGUUACCAGAGGCAGGUGUUGAUAGUGGGGAAAUUGGUUGAGAGAGGUCCAAGGCACAAAUUUCUAGUUAUAAGAUAAGUAAGUACUUGAGAUUUAAUGUAAAAAUUAUACAUAACACUACUGUAUUAUAUCUAAAAGUUGGAAAAAAUCUUAAUAAUUCUCAUCACAAGAAAAAAAAACAUGUUUUUACUUUUUCUUCUUUUUGGUAUCUAUAUGAGAUGAUGGAUGCUAAAUAAACUCAUUUUGGUAAUCAUAUUAUAAUAUAUGUAGGUCAAACCAUUAUGCUUCAUGCCUUAAAUUUAUACAGUAAAAUACAGCAAUUAAAUCUCAAUGAAACUCAAAAACAGUAAAUUAAAAAUAUAAACCUUAAAUAUACUUUGAAAUGCGAUUAUUUAGGAAAAAGUUAAUUUACAUAAUAUGAAGAGCAUAUAAUGAAUCAUAAAGAGCCAACUUUUCCAUGGCAAUUUUGAUUUUCAACUGAGCUACACAAAUCUCCUCAGGGGUGAGGAGUAUUAGAGCCUAGCUGGAUGAGAGCAAGCAGCAGGAGAGCAAAAUAAAGUAUAUCCAUAAUAUACCCUGCCAUAUUUGAGCUCACACACUCACACACACACACGCACAUACACACUCUCUCUCUCAUUCAGUUCAGUCCUGAGACCUGUGUAGUUAUACAGUACAAACUGUGUCGUUCAGUUUGUCACUCAUUGACCUUUUACGUCCCUGUGACGCACAUUAGUCAGCAAUGAUGUCUGGUUAACACUGGUUCUCUAGAGCUCUGGCUUAGUCUUUCAGUCAUUCCAUCAGCAUGAGUCAUGUACCCCGUGCCCAAGCACUCUGUGCCCCCCUCCCUUGGGCUCUGCUUUAUUCGGUCAUCCCGUCAUCCCCCGUCUUUUCCAGCCACUGUACCCUCUGUUAGUCAAACUUGCACACCACGUGCUCAUUUCCCUGACUGUGUCUUACCGUAAAAAUGUUUCUUCUUUCUUCCUUCUUUCACAAGUUCUUUUCUUUGUCCUGGAUUACUCUCAUUUCCUUAAUUUAUAGACUCUGUUAUGGUUAAUGAUCUAUAUUACAACAUAGUCCUGUAAUUCCAGCAUAGUAUCUGUAACGUCUAUUUUGUUGUUGCUAUCACACAAAUUCUGAACAAAUAAGACUAGAUUUUGGUUUAAUAAACUUUUAUGAUUAAGAUGAACUUAUUUCUUUUAUACAUUUGCACUCCAGCUAUAUUGGUACAUGUCUGUAUGUAGUGGAAACAAAGUUUACUGAAAAAUUUGAAACCACUUCACAUUUGAGUAGGGAAGUCAAAUCCCUAAAACCUUGUAAAUCCUAAAUUAAAUACCAGGAUCAUCUCACAAUACUAUGAAAUGGGGCGUUCAAAUUCCAGUCCCAUUCAAGGUACAUAGUUAAAUCUGUAUUUUAGAAGUAUUUCCUCCCCUUCCUAACUGGUUGUAAGCAUUGUUUUUGCUUCUGUAUGUACACAUUAAAAAGCAAAAUUAAAUAUGUAACAAGCAAGCUCCAAAUGUCAGUACCUUUUCAGACAAACACUAUAUACAAAAAAUACUCUCAGUUUAAACUUGAGAGAAAUCGGAAAUCAAGUGAGCAAUCAUUUAGUAGGCCUUCUAUGUUUUGUUUUGUUUCAAAAGGCUAUUCUUUUUUUUUUCUUUUUUUUUCUUUUUUUUUUUUUGUCUUUUAUUUUGAGCCACACUCAUGGCAUAUGGAAGUUCUCAGGCUAGAGGUUGAAUUGGAGUUGUAGCUGCCAGCCUAUGCCACAGCUACAGCAAUGCAAGAUCUGAGCCGCUGUCGGUGAACUACACCACAGCUGAUGGCAACACCAGAUCCUUAACCCACUGAGCGAGACCAGGGAUUGAACCCUAGUCCUUAUGGAUGCUAGUCAGGUUCGUUACUGCUGAGCUAUGAGGGGAACUCCAAGAAGGCUGUUCUUAUUGGUACUAUAAUUAAAACCUAGGGCUUGAAUGAGGAGAAGCUUUUAAGAAAAGAGAGGGC
rnacentral:lncRNA from 1 species